rnacentral:rRNA from 1 species
UGCCGGCGAGUGGUAACUGGUGCGUAAGUGCGGAACUGCCCAUGUCGUGGGGGAUAUCGUASCGAACGCUACGCUAAUACCGCAUACGUCCUGAGGGAGAAAGCGGGGGAUCUUCGGACCUCGCGCGAUUGGAGCGGCCGAUGUCGGAUUAGCUAGUAGGUGGGGUAAAGGCCCACCUAGGCGACGAUCCGUAGCGGGUCUGAGAGGAUGAUCCGCCACACUGGGACUGAGACACGGCCCAGACUCCUACGGGAGGCAGCAGUGGGGAAUUUUGGACAAUGGGCGCAAGCCUGAUCCAGCCAUGCCGCGUGAGUGAAGAAGGCCUUCGGGUUGUAAAGCUCUUUCGGCCGGGAAGAAAUCGCACGCUCUAACAUAGCGUGUGGAUGACGGUACCGGACUAAGAAGCACCGGCUAACUACUUGCCAGCAGCCGCGGUAAUACRUAGGGGUGCGAGCGUUAAUCGGAAUUACUGGGCGUAAAGCGUGCGCAGGCGGUUUUGUAAGACAGAUGUGAAAUCCCCGGGCUUWAACCUGGGAYCUGCSUUUGUGAYUGCARGGYUAGAAUACGGCAGAGGGGGGKGGAAUUCCUGGUGUASCRUGAAUUGCCUWWAWUWUCAGGAGGAACACCKAUGGCGRAGGCGCCCCC